UACAGAGGGUGCGAGCGUUGUUCGGAAUUAUUGGGCGUAAAGCGCUUGUAGGCGGCUUGUUAAGUCGCGUGUGAAAUCCCCAGGCUCAACCUGGGAAGUGCGCGCGAAACUGGCGAGCUUGAAUGCCGGAGAGGGUCGCGGAAUUCCCGGUGUAGAGGUGAAAUUCGUAGAUAUCGGGAGGAACACCAGUGGCGAAGGCGGCGACCUGGACGGACAUUGACGCUGAGACGCGAAAGCGUGGGGAG
rnacentral:rRNA from 1 species